rnacentral:rRNA from 1 species
UUCGCAAUGCCCGAAAGGGUGACGAAGCGACGCCGCGUGCGGGAAGAAGGCCUUCGGGUUGUAAACCGCUGUCGGGAGUUAAGAAAUGUAAGGAUGUUAAUAGCAUCUUUGCUUGACUAAGGCUCCGGAGGAAGCCGCGGCUAACUCUGUGCCAGCAGCCGCGGUAAUACAGAGGCGGCAAGCGUUGUUCGGAAUUAUUGGGCGUAAAGAGCACGUAGGCGGCUAUGUAAGUCGGUUGUGAAAGCCUUCCGCUCAACGGGAGAACAGCAUCCGAUACUGCAUGGCUUGAGUGCGGGAGGGGAGAGUGGAACUUCUGGUGGAGCGGUGAAAUGCGUAGAUAUCAGAAGGAACGCCGGCGGCGAAAGCGGCUCUCUGGCCCAUAACUGACGCUGAGUGUGCGAAAGCUAGGGGAGCAAACGGGAUUAGAUACCCCGGUAGUCCUAGCCGUAAACGAUGGGCACUAAGUAGAGGGGUUUU